AGAGUUUGAUCAUGGCUCAGAUUGAACGCUGGCGGCAGGCCUAACACAUGCAAGUCGAACGGUAACAGGAAACAGCUUGCUGCUUCGCUGACGAGUGGCGGACGGGUGAGUAAUGUCUGGGAAACUGCCUGAUGGAGGGGGAUAACUACUGGAAACGGUAGCUAAUACCGCAUAACGUCGCAAGACCAAAGAGGGGGACCUUCGGGCCUCUUGCCAUCGGAUGUGCCCAGAUGGGAUUAGCUAGUAGGUGGGGUAACGGCUCACCUAGGCGACGAUCCCUAGCUGGUCUGAGAGGAUGACCAGCCACACUGGAACUGAGACACGGUCCAGACUCCUACGGGAGGCAGCAGUGGGGAAUAUUGCACAAUGGGCGCAAGCCUGAUGCAGCCAUGCCGCGUGUAUGAAGAAGGCCUUCGGGUUGUAAAGUACUUUCAGCGGGGAGGAAGGGAGUAAAGUUAAUACCUUUGCUCAUUGACGUUACCCGCAGAAGAAGCACCGGCUAACUCCGUGCCAGCAGCCGCGGUAAUACGGAGGGUGCAAGCGUUAAUCGGAAUUACUGGGCGUAAAGCGCACGCAGGCGGUUUGUUAAGUCAGAUGUGAAAUCCCCGGGCUCAACCUGGGAACUGCAUCUGAUACUGGCAAGCUUGAGUCUCGUAGAGGGGGGUAGAAUUCCAGGUGUAGCGGUGAAAUGCGUAGAGAUCUGGAGGAAUACCGGUGGCGAAGGCGGCCCCCUGGACGAAGACUGACGCUCAGGUGCGAAAGCGUGGGGAGCAAACAGGAUUAGAUACCCUGGUAGUCCACGCCGUAAACGAUGUCGACUUGGAGGUUGUGCCCUUGAGGCGUGGCUUCCGGAGCUAACGCGUUAAGUCGACCGCCUGGGGAGUACGGCCGCAAGGUUAAAACUCAAAUGAAUUGACGGGGGCCCGCACAAGCGGUGGAGCAUGUGGUUUAAUUCGAUGCAACGCGAAGAACCUUACCUGGUCUUGACAUCCACGGAAGUUUUCAGAGAUGAGAAUGUGCCUUCGGGAACCGUGAGACAGGUGCUGCAUGGCUGUCGUCAGCUCGUGUUGUGAAAUGUUGGGUUAAGUCCCGCAACGAGCGCAACCCUUAUCCUUUGUUGCCAGCGGUCCGGCCGGGAACUCA
rnacentral:rRNA from 1 species